rnacentral:rRNA from 1 species
CAGUCGCCGCGGGAAUACGAAGGGGGCUAGCGUUGCUCGGAAUGACUGGGCGUAAAGGGCGCGUAGGCGGCGAUCAAAGUCAGGCGUGAAAUUCCUGGGCUCAACCUGGGGGCUGCGUUUGAUACUUGAUUGCUAGAGUGGGGAAGAGGGUCGUGGAAUUCCCAGUGUAGAGGUGAAAUUCGUAGAUAUUGGGAAGAACACCGGUGGCGAAGGCGGCGACCUGGUCCUUGACUGACGCUGAGGCGCGAAAGCGUGGGGAGCAAACAGGAUUAGAGACCCCAGUAGUCCCUGUCUCUUAUAC